UGUGCUGAAAAUAAAAAAAAAUGAAAAGAAAACUUGGCACCGCCCCUCUGCUUUGCUUCCUGGGGAGGAAGGAGGAUCCCAGCUACUUCUUUCCCUCAUUCUGGGGCCCAGAGAUACCCACAGCCUGCCCAAGGUCACACAGCAGGGUCGGAGCCAGGACCCUGGCCUUAGACUCCCCUUCCAGUGCUCUACCCCCUCUGGCCACUGCCUCUGCUAUUCCUGGCUCUUCCUCUAGGCCCGUGAGGAGCAGAUGAAUUAGGAUGAAUGUUCCCGCACCCUACCACACGCUGGGCACUCUGCCACCUUGAGCUCACAAAACCCUCAUGACAGCCCUGUGAGGUCCUGUCACCCCAUUUAACCAACGAGGAAGCUGAGACUCAGAGAGGGGAAGCGCCCAAGGUCACACAGCCGGGACGUGGCAGAGCUGGGGUUCCAGCUCCUGUCCCCAUUGCUGGACAGCUGCCACAUCUGGCACCCAAUUUAGGACCCUGUGGGGAGGCCCAAGCCCUGGGGGUGGCGGGGGUUCCUAGAGGGAAGUGGCAAGGCCAGGACCCUGGAACUGAGCCAGGCAUUGUCCUGGUACUAUGGAGCAAUGAACAAACAAGACAAAAAUGCCCCCAUCACCUUUGGAGCCCACAUCUCUUCGGAGCUGCCCUACAUUUCCUGAGUAGGAAACUGAGACUCUGAGAGAUGAAGCUACUUGCCAACGCCACGCAGCUCAGCCACAUCCCACUGAACAUCAUCCUGUUCCCUGGGGUCCUCACAGCACCUCCUGCAAACAGACCUCCGACCCAAGCCCUUCCUUCUGCCUCCACUGCCACCAUUGCUGCUCAUCUCUGCUGGCACAGAAGUCUCGUCCCUGGUCCUCCAGAAAUCCCCUCUCCAUAUUCAGCGAGAGGGAGCUGUUAAAACUGCGGGCCAGCCCACAUCAGUCCCCGGCAAAGUCCUCUCUAAGGGAUCCCGUUGCUUGGAGAAUAAACCCUCGGAUUCCUUCCUUGGCUCUCGGGGCCUCCUCUCUGACCUCCCUCUGUCUCCUCUCCCAGCCUUCCUCCUCACUUACCCUCCAGCCACGCUGGCUUCCUCUUUGCUCCUGAAACAGCCUGAGGCCCACACUGCCGCGGGCCCUUUGCACUGGCUGUUCCCUCUACCUGGAACACUUCUCCCAGGCUUCCACAGGGCUCCCUCCCGCAAUUCCUUCGGGUGCCCACCUGGGAAGCCUUUCCUGACCGCCCCCCACUUCCUUCUGAGCACGGUCGGGUCUUUCUACCUGGUAUAUGAGGGCAGGGAUUUUUGUCUGCUGUGUUCUCUGUGUGCCCCAGUGCCAUCACAGUGUCUGGCAGAUGGUAAGUGCUCGACACACAUUGGCUGACUGCCUGAAUGAACAACUCUAUGGGCUGAUGGCAGUUAAGGACACUGAGGUCCUCUGGGGUAGGUGACCAGCCCAAGGCCACACAGCUGGUUUGAGAUUAGGCCAGGAGAGGAGCCCGGGUUGGUCACAUCCUGGAGCUGGUGUCUUGGAAACUGCAUCAGGAGAAUAACAAAGAUGAGACUCAGGCUCUAACAAGCGGAUACCAGCGACUCUUGCCCCGCCAGCCCCAGCCCUGCGGCCUUGGGCCCUUCCAGGAGUCAUGGUCUGCCUGCCUGGGGCAUUCCAGGCUUCAGCCCAGGUCCUGCGCUUUCUAUUUUGAGCCUCUUAGUCCUGAGGACUGUGUGUUCCCAGCAGGCGGCACGGGCCAGAGGCUGAGCCUGGGUGUGGCUGUCACCCUAUCUGGGGCCAGGGACCCAGAUUCCCGGGCCCUUAACCUGUUGGCUGCUGAGGGCUCUGGCAUAAGCCCUGUUCCCUGCUUGAUUGUCUCCCCUUCAAGCCCCUGCGCUGGUGUCUUCCAGGCAUGGUAUCAGCCCAUCUCACCUUGGAUUAUAUCCCUGUUUGGCCCCAUUUGAAUCCUGGCUCUGCCCCUUUCCAGCAAUGUGACCUUGGGCAAGUCACUUCAUCUCUCUGGGUCUCAGUUUCUUCAUCUGGGAAAUGGGGACAAUAAGAGUACCUGUCUCUGGCCAUGUGUGGUGACUCACGCCUGUCAUUCCAGCGCUUUGGGAAGCCGAGGCGAGAGAAUUGCUUGAGACCAAGAGUUUGAGAUCAGCCUGGGCAACAUAGUGAGACCCCUGUCUCUACAAAAUUUUAAAAAGUUAGCUGGGCAUGGUGGUGUGCGCCUGUAGUCCCAGCUAUUCUGGAGGCUGAGGCGGGAGGAUUGCUUGAGCCCAGGAGUUUGAGGCUGCAGUGAGCUAUGAUUACGCCCCUGCACAUUAGCCUGGGUGAUAGAAUGAGGCCCCAUCUCUAAAAAUAACAAUACUAAUAAUAAAUAAAAAUGAAAACAAGUACCUGU